UUAUUUUAUUUUAUAAGAAAUGAUUCGGUACUUUAUUAUUAAAAAAUAAAAUAAAAUUUAACCGUUGAUUAAUAGAGGGUAAAAGUGUAAUUUUAAUAUUUAGCAGAUAAAUGAGUUACAUCAUUCGAAGUUAUUUCGGUAAUUAAACUAUACAUCAUUUAAAGAAACUUUUAAUUGAUAUUCUAAAUUUAUACAUUAAUUUGCACUAAUUUAGGAAAUUGAUUGAUUACCCUAAUUUAGGCAUUAAUUAGGUAUUAAUUUACAAAUUUAGUUUAGAAAUUUACGAAUUUAGUUUAAACAUAAAAAUUAAAAAGAUUAGAAUUACUAUUCAGAAAAAAAGGUUAGAAAUUUGAAUUCGAAUCUGAUUAACAAUCACAAAAUCUAUUUCUAAACUCGAUGGAUUUCAAAAAUCCAUACCUAAACCCGAAACUAACCAAUUUUUUGAAAUCCAAAACCAAAUCCAAACCGUAAGACUGGAACCCGAAAUAAUUAUUUCUUUUUACCAUAUUUCAAAAUAUUUUAUAUUAAAUUUAAAUUUUUAAAAUAUAAAUUCGAAUAUAAUAUUAAACUUUAUAUAUGAUUCGGGUUGGAUUCAAGAUGGAUAUAGAAAAAAUCCAUAGUUGGUUCACAAAAUAAUCUCAUGUUCUUGUUGUCAAAUAAUUUGAAAUUUUUCUUAUAUGAAAUACCAAAUAUGAGAGGAAAGAUAGAGAGAGAAAAAAGAAAUAAAGAGAGAAUAAAAUUCUAAUAAUAUAAUAGAGAUAAAAUGACUAAAUUGCUCAUGUAUUAAAAAAUAAAAAUAUUCUUUUUUGAGAUACCUGGUGACCGGUACCAUUCCUAAAAUGACCUGCUAUUGCAGGUCACAAUUUUAAGAAAAUUAAAUCUGUACCGUUGAGUGGGAGUGAUUGAACGGUAAUGGAAAAAAAAAAGUAUAGAAGCAUUACUCUUAUUUUAUAUAGAUACUGAUAUAGAUAUAUAGAUAGAUA
rnacentral:lncRNA from 1 species